CAAGAGCUCAGUGAACAUUACAUAUCUGAGAAUGCACAAAAUGGGAAACGUUGCCUCUCCUUCCUGAUAAAGCUGUGAUUGAUUGAUUUUUGUGCAAACAGAAUUGCCCCUCCUCAUCCCAUUCUGAUCUGCUCUCUAUGCAGAAUAGGUCAGGUGUCCUAAUUUCCCCUUGCCACCCUUGCCCUGGCCAGAGUAAAGAGGAGAGCUCUAGCUUCUCUCUCUAGGUGAAGACUGGGAAGCUGAUCCUCCCUACAGGGGCACUGAGCUUUGGAGAAUGCAGCACACCUGCAGGAACGAUCCCCACUCCACUCUCGGACUCCUGAGGCAGACUCAGUCCCCCAGGAAGUGACAAGGAACAAACACAAACUCCCUGGAUGAAGAUGACCUGCCACGGGCUGGAAGCAGACAAUCACUUCUGAGAGAGCUGACAAACAUGUUUGAAGAGACAUCUCCCUCAGUGGUGUACAUACAUCUUUUGUCCCACUGCUGCCCCAUGGCCAACAGGUUUUUGAAACCACACACAGACUUGCAAAACCUGUUUACCAGAGAAUCCCACUUUGGAAGAUGCCAACAUGAAGAACAAGAGAGUGUAUUCAAGCAUGUGCAGAGUCCCCUUCCUCUACCACUGAGUAACCUCAUUCAGGCUCAACACGACUGGUAUUAUAUGGAAAGGCUUCUGGGCAAAUAAUCUGACUUCUAACCAGACUUGGGCUCUGACUGGGGAGUCAAACUGAGCCCAAACUUAAAAACCAGUUCAUAGAGGUUUCUUCAGUGAAUAAAAACUGAACCUGAACCCAACAUCUCAAGGUUGACUUGAACCUGAACCAGAAUUGAACCUUUAAACACAACAGUAACAACAACAAAAGUGGUAACCAGUUCAGAAUAGUGGUUCAGUAAUCGGGCACUCAGAAAUUAUUCUUCAAGGAGUUGUGAUAUUUCCCAGCAAGUCUUCUGAAAAGAAGAGGAGGACCAGAGAAACAGUAGAGAUUAGUAGGCAGGGUGUAGAACUGGCAAGCUGGUGCUCAAGUAGAACGUCAUACCCACAGGCUGUUGUCCAGCAGCCACAAGGCCUCAUUCAACUAUGAGGCUGCAACUAUCUGCAAGUUUCUUUUACUCUUCCUCUACAAUUCAUUCUAAGCAGGACUCAGGCAGAUGACAAUACUGCACACAGCCUCUUUAUUUAUCUGCACAUUUCCCCUUAAACCACUUUCCCUUAAAAAUAGCUUCCUUAAAACAAAACUCGAAAGGUGGAAUAGAAAAGCAGGGGGCUGCUCAUUGCACUUCGGCUGUCAAGUUCUGUGGUUCACAUUGUGCAGAUGACUUGCUGGGUUCCGAAUCUGAAGCUAAUGCUUGAUGCAACAAAAGCCAAAAGGUCCAGGUCUCAAGGUGCCGGCCAGAACACAGAAUGACUGGUUGCAACUGAGCAGCUGCCACAGAUCAGGAGCCUCCAAUGCCUACACAUACUUCACAAGAAAUAUUCCUUCCCCCAGCAUAAUUUUCAUUUAUAUUUCCUUUGAUUAAAAAGUGAGAUGAGAAACUCUGAUAGAGUUAUUAA